UAUUGGACAAUGGGCGAAAGCCUGAUCCAGCAAUACCGCGUGUGUGAAGAAGGCCUUAGGGUUGUAAAGCACUUUCAAUUGGGAGGAAAACCUACCGGUCAAUACCCGGUAGCUUGACAUUACCUUUAGAAGAAGCACCGGCUAACUCCGUGCCAGCAGCCGCGGUAAUACGGAGGGUGCGAGCGUUAAUCGGAAUUACUGGGCGUAAAGCGUGCGUAGGCGGUUCGUUAAGUCAGAUGUGAAAGCCCUGGGCUCAACCUGGGAACGGCAUUUGAAACUGGCGGACUAGAGUUUAGUAGAGGGGAGUGGAAUUUCAGGUGUAGCGGUGAAAUGCGUAGAUAUUUGAAGGAACACCAGUGGCGAAGGCGACUCCCUGGACUAGAACUGACGCUGAGUACGAAA
rnacentral:rRNA from 1 species